UACGGAGGAGGCAAGCGUUAUCCGGAAUUAUUGGGCGUAAAGCGUCCGCAGGCGGCACUUCAAGUCUGUCGUCAAAGACUGGGGCUUAACCCUGGAAAGGCGGUGGAAACUGAAACGCUAGAGUGCGGUAGGGGUAGAGGGAAUUCCCGGUGUAGCGGUGAAAUGCGUAGAGAUCGGGAAGAACAUCGGUGGCGAAAGCGCUCUACUGGACCGCAACUGACACUCAGGGACGAAAGCUAGGGGAGCGAAUGGG
rnacentral:rRNA from 1 species